rnacentral:rRNA from 1 species
CGCUGGCGGCGUGCCUAACACAUGCAAGUCGAGCGGGGAGAUCCCUUCGGGGGUCUUCUAGCGGCGGACGGGUGAGUAACGCGUGAGCAACCUUUCCUUCACAGGGGGAUAACGCAGCGAAAGCUGUGCUAAUACCGCAUGAGACCACAGGACCGCAUGGUCAAGGGGUCAAAGGAGCAAUCCAGUGAAGGGUGGGCUCGCGCCUGAUUAGCUAGUUGGCGGGGUAAAGGCCCACCAAGGCAACGAUCAGUAGCCGACCUGAGAGGGUGAUCGGCCACACUGGGACUGAGACACGGCCCAGACUCCUACGGGAGGCAGCAGUGGGGAAUAUUGGGCAAUGGGGGAAACCCUGACCCAGCAACGCCGCGUGAGGGAAGAAGGUUUUCGGAUCGUAAACCUCUGUCCUUGGUGAAGAGCAGAAGACGGUAGCCAAGGAGGAAGCCCCGGCUAACUACGUGCCAGCAGCCGC